CGUGUCUCACGGUUGAAUACUCUCAUAUUAAGUGUUGUAGUGGGCGUCAUGUAUUUUCUUGUGUUUGGCACGUGUGCAUUGGCUUUUUGGUAUAUUGGAUAUCUUGUUCGAACUGAAUCGGCAUCAGCUGGAAAAAAAUUGAUAGCAUUUAUAGCUGUUCUUCG